CUAGAGAGUAAGGAAGGGAUGUGAAACUGGCUAUUUCAGCUCAUGAGCAGUGAUUCACUCAUGCAUAGGAAGAAAUGCAGAGGUGAGGUUAGUGGGAAGAAAAGCCGACUGUCUGCAGGACGCAAGCAGGCCUGCUCCUUCCUGUGCAGCUCACUUGCUUCCCCUUCAUCCUAAGAAACUGUGUGAAGCAAGAGGUUGUGUGCUUUGCGUGUUCUGUGCAUGCUGAUGGGUGUUCUCAAGGUGCCUGUACUCAGUGGCUGCGUACCCCCAGAGUACGUGGCAAAUAUGGCCGUUGUACCUAAAACAAAGUGUGGCUUUCAGUCCUUGGAGUCCUGGGCAUGGGAAGAGGCCCAGUCGCAGCCUGAAGGGAGUUCUACUCCAGCUGGAGGCAGAGCCCAGCUGAGCCAUGGGCAGCGUUCACCCCACCUAGCUUACAUCAAAGAGCUUGGUUCUUGGCUUCAGAAUGACUCCAGCCUGAAAAGAAGGAGAGAACUGAGUACACGGGUGAUGAUGCAAGCAGGAUGUGGGUGGAUUUGUGCAUAUCUAUGAGCAGGUGCUUUGCAGAUGGAUUCAGUUUCAAGGUAUUUCUAAACAUCGUGUUGGAUACCCCUCUGUAAUCAACGCUACCUUAAAAACCAUCUCCAGUUCAACUCUGCUGCCAGAUCUCCUUCAACAUUUGGUAGGAAAUAUUUAAAAGACAACAUCAGAUAUUGUUAAUGACCUGUGUACGUGUAGACGUGUGAGAUUUUAUAUAUAAUAUAUAUAAAAUCGCAAACCUUGCUGAAACUUCAAAAUGGAACGACCUGUAGCUCUUUGUUCUACUGUACAGGCAUAUGGUGAGGGGAAAAAAGAAAGCUACAUUUCACUGGAGCUCUCUGGCACAACUGCGGACAGCAUUCUAACUUUCACGGAGCAACUGGCACAGGGAGGCACUUAUGUGACGUGUUUAAAACUUAUCUUUGGUAAACACACAUGGAAAUUUGCAACACUUCCUGAACAUAAGAGAAAUCUUCAUUUGCUAGUGGUGUAUGAGUGCAGUUACUGUCCAACAGCAAUCAGGAAUCCAUGCUGCAAAUUAAGGUUCGCAGAACUGUAAAGAAAACUCCUUCCAGUCUGCACUGAUACCCUAAACCUUCUCAAGAGAGCCAGCAAAGAAGUCUGUCUAGAAGACAAAGGAUAAAGCUCUGGACCUAGAAUUCCUCAGCUUAUAUUUUUCUUACCCUCAUAUCAACACAUUACGUAAGCAGAUAGACCUUACCAUGGGUUAUUUAUUUACAUUCUAUUUUUAUUAUCAAAAAUAGCUGUAACAGAAAGAUGCUGUGAAUUCUGCAAAGUAGCUCAACUGUGAGUGUGUAAGGUUGGGAGGAGAGGGUUUUGUAUAAACUUUUUAGUAAAUCUGUGUUAUGGUUUUGGUAGACCAGCUCUAAUGAAGUACUAGCAAACUAACCACUGUCAGAAUUGCUACAUAAGGAGUACUUGCAUGUUGUGUGACUUAUCUGAUACUGCAAAACUUUGAAAGAGCUUUCCAAAGUUAAUGCUGUGAUUGGAAAAAACAAAGGGCUUUGAGAAGGGAAUGUUUGAACCCUUUCUUUAGCAGAGGAACCCACUUAAAACACUUUUGGAAAGCUGGAAGAUGGAAGCACUAAGUAAGAUUGGAAAUCCAUCCUUUAUUUUUACAUGUUAUUAGUUAUUUUAGAUCUCAUUGCUAUACACUAAGAUUUAAAAGUGACAGUAAAAGGUAAUGUUGCUGAGUAGUUCUUUUGCAUCAAAGGAAAACUGGAUAACUUCCACUCCUCUAUUAAGAGCAGCACCUUAAAAUUUCAUUCCUCUAAAGUGACUCCUGGAGAACCUGCUGAUGGUUUGUCAGUUCAGAACCUCAACAUUUAUGUCUGAGAAAUCUUUUACAAACAAUACUAAGAGUCCAAUGCUGAAAUGGUGCCUUCUGCUUUCAUAGGAAAAUAUCUCAGAAAAAAAAUGGAAUUAUAUUUUCAAGAAUAUAAUUAAUUUACAGACAGGC
rnacentral:lncRNA from 7 species